rnacentral:rRNA from 1 species
GCGGCGGACGGGUGAGUAAUGCCUAGGAAUCUGCCUGGUAGUGGGGGACAACGUUUCGAAAGGAACGCUAAUACCGCAUACGUCCUACGGGAGAAAGCAGGGGACCUUCGGGCCUUGCGCUAUCAGAUGAGCCUAGGUCGGAUUAGCUAGUUGGUGAGGUAAUGGCUCACCAAGGCGACGAUCCGUAACUGGUCUGAGAGGAUGAUCAGUCACACUGGAACUGAGACACGGUCCAGACUCCUACGGGAGGCAGCAGUGGGGAAUAUUGGACAAUGGGCGAAAGCCUGAUCCAGCCAUGCCGCGUGUGUGAAGAAGGUCUUCGGAUUGUAAAGCACUUUAAGUUGGGAGGAAGGGCAGUAAGUUAAUACCUUGCUGUUUUGACGUUACCGACAGAAUAAGCACCGGCUAACUCUGUGCCAGCAGCCGCGGUAAUACAGAGGGUGCAAGCGUUAAUCGGAAUUACUGGGCGUAAAGCGCGCGUAGGUGGUUCGUUAAGUUGGAUGUGAAAGCCCCGGGCUCAACCUGGGAACUGCAUCCAAAACUGGCGAGCUAGAGUACGGUAGAGGGUGGUGGAAUUUCCUGUGUAGCGGUGAAAUGCGUAGAUAUAGGAAGGAACACCAGUGGCGAAGGCGACCACCUGGACUGAUACUGACACUGAGGUGCGAAAGCGUGGGGAGCAAACAGGAUUAGAU